AUGGGCAAGACAACUCUUGCAAACCAAGUGUAUCAAGAGAUCAAAGAGAAAUUCAAGUGUAAGGCUUUCGUAUCACUAUCACGAAAUCCAGACAUGAUGAAUAUCUUGAGAAUCAUUCUCAGCGAACUUAGUUGUCAAGUUUAUGCUCACACUGAAGCAGGGAGCAUACAACAACUAAUCAGCAAGAUUAAUGAUUACCUAGCUCACAAAAGGUAUUUUAUAGUGAUUGAUGACAUAUGGGACAUCAAAACAUGGGAUGUUCUUAAGUGCGCAUUCCCCAUGAACAGUUGUGGAAGCAUAAUAAUCACCACUACUCGUAUGCGUGAUGUCGCAUAUUCAUGUCGUUCAUCAAUCGGUGGUCAUAUUUACAGUAUAAAGCCUCUUAAUAUGUCACACUCAAGACAACUAUUUCACAGAAGAUUAUUUAACUCUGAAGAAGAUUGCCCGCUAUCGCUCGAAACCAUUUCUAACCAAAUAUUGAAAAAAUGUGAUGGAUUGCCUUUGGCGAUCAUUGCUAUAUCUGGUUUGUUGGCCAACAAAGAAAGAACAAAGCAUCUGUGGAACGAAGUGAAAGAUUCAAUUGGUCGUGCACUAGAAAGGAAUCCUAGUGUCGAACGAAUGAUCAAGAUAUUGUCACUUAGUUACUUUGAUCUGCCUCCUCAUCUUAAAACAUGUCUCCUCUAUCUAAGUAUAUUUCCAGAAGAUUCUGUUAUUGAGAAGAAAGCCCUUAUAUGGAAAUGGAUUGCAGAAGGAAUUAUUCACAAAGAUGGCAAAUAUACAACAUAUGAGUUAGGAGAGAGGUGUUUUAAUGAGCUCGUUAAUAGGAGUUUAAUCCAACCAGUGGAGCUGGACAAAUAUGAUAAGGUGUUUAAUUGCCGAGUUCAUGAUACAAUUCUUGAUUUCAUUAUAUCCAAGUCCAUUGAAGAGAACUUUGUUUCUUUCAUUGGUGUCCCCAGUUUAACAAUAGGGACAGAAAGUAGAGUGCGCCGACUCUCCAUGCAAGUUGAAGGAGAACGAAUAUCUGAAAUGCCGACGAGCCUGAUAUUGUCUCAUGUCCGGUCACUUAAUGUGUUUGGGAAUACAGUGAAAAUCCCCCCAAUGAAGUAUUUCAGGCAUUUGCGCGUUGUGGACUUUGGAAGAUGCGGGCAAGUGGAAAACCACCAUCUUGCAGAUGUAGGCCGUCUUUUUCAGCUAAGGUACCUCAACAUUAGCUGGACAAGGGUACGCAAUCUUCCAGAACAAAUCGGGCAUCUACGGUGCUUAGAGUUGUUGGACAUUAGGCGCACGGAGGUCUCCAGUUUACCAGCAAGUAUUGUCAAUCUCAAAAAGUUGGCACAUCUACUUGUUAGCAGACUUGUUAGAUUUCCUGAUGGCAUUGCAAAGAUGCAAGCACUGGAAACAUUGAAAUGGGUGAGCGCCGACCAGUCAUGUAACUUUCUGCAGGAGCUUGGGCAGCUAAAGAAUCUGAGGAAGCUGAACCUUUGCCAUAUGAAUGAUGCAGAACAGAACAAGGAGAUUAUUGCUUAUUCUCUCAAUGAACUAUGCACACAAAACCUUACAUCUCUAACUAUGUGGAAUGAUCAUGAUAGCAUCCUAUUGAAUACAUGGUGCACUUCUCCUCCACUUAACCUUCAAAAGCUUGUGACUUCGGCCUGGGUCCUCCCAAAGGUUCCGGAUUGGAUAGGAUCACUCAUGAACUUGCAGAAGUUAAGCUUGGAAGUGGAGAGAAUCAGGCAGGAAGAUAUCUUCAUCCUUGGAGCCUUACCUUCUCUGCUUACUCUGAGUCUCCAAGGAAUGGAAGAUCGGUCUUCUUGUAAAGACAGAAGGCUGGCAAUCACAAGUGAAGCUGGGUUCCGAAGCCUGAGGAUGUUUACUUACGUGGUGCUGGGAGAUGGGAUGGAUCUCAUGUUUACAGCAAGAUGUAUGCCCAAGCUAGAAAAACUGAUAAUUCAUUUUUCCGGUGGUGUUGAAAAUGAGACUCUCUGCUGUCCUGGUGCUAUUGAUUUUGGGAUAAGAAACCUGUCGAGCCUCACUACUUUCAGAUGUGAGUUUGUUUGCGACAGGGGCAUUGCUGAUGCUAUAAUUGCUUCCCUGAAGAGAGAAGUCAGCACACAUCCUAAUAACGACCUUCGUCUAAUCAUCGAGAUGUACAAUGUUGAACUCGAGCUCCAGCUGCUUCAGUAG
rnacentral:rRNA from 1 species